rnacentral:rRNA from 1 species
UACGGAGGGUGCGAGCGUUGUCCGGAAUCACUGGGCGUAAAGGGCGCGUAGGCGGCGCGAGGAGUCGGGGGUGAAAGCCCCCGGCUCAACUGGGGAGGGUCACGCGAUACUGGUCGACUCGAAGGCAGGAGAGGGUAGUGGAAUUCCCGGUGUAGUGGUGAAAUGCGUAGAUAUCGGGAGGAACACCAGUGGCGAAGGCGACUACCUGGCCUGUUUCUUGACGCUGAGGCGCGAAAGCUAGGGGAGCAAACGGG